rnacentral:rRNA from 1 species
UACGUAGGGUGCGAGCGUUAAUCGGAAUUACUGGGCGUAAAGCGUGCGCAGGCGGUUUUGUAAGCCGGAUGUGAAAUCCCCGGGCUUAACCUGGGAAUGGCAUUCGGGACUGCAAGGCUGGAGUGCGGCAGAGGAGACUGGAAUUCCUGGUGUAGCAGUGAAAUGCGUAGAUAUCUGCAGGAACACCCGUGGCGAAAGCGGCGCGCUGGACCACUACUGACGCUGAGGAACGAAAGCUAGGGGAGCAAACAGG